GGGUAAUCAGAUGCCGUGGGCCGCGUGAAGGUGUAGGUCCCGAGCGUGUUCCGGAGUUAUUGGGCGUAAAGCGGGGGCAGGGGGUGUUAUAAUGCUGAAGUAAAAGGCAGUGGCUCAACGAGUUGGUGCGUUGGAAACUGUACAACUUGAGUGCAGAAGGGGAGAGUGGAAUUCCAUGUGGAGCGGUGAAAUGCGUAGAUAUAUGGAGGAACACCGGUGGCGAAAGCGGCUCUCUGGUCUGUAACUGACACUGAGGCUCGAAAGCGUGGGGAGCAAACAGGAUUAGAUACCCGUGUAGUC
rnacentral:rRNA from 1 species